CUGCUAUAUCAAUGUCAUCAAUAAUGUGUGUUGAGUUACAUUUCAAACAAGAAGCUGAAUCAUGUUUCAAUUGCAAGGAAAGAACGCCACACGGCUACGUACAGCUUGCGAAGUUGAGCACGCUUCAUCGUAGAAGCUACUUUAAUAUCUUCCACACCGACCGACCAAUCAAACGAACGAUCUGGUUGUUAAAUUGAAGUAUAUCCUGUCCGAUAUUCAAACGGAUUUUUUUAUAACGUGAUCUUUUGAUUUCCGAAACAUCGCCAACUGUUUGUAAACAAUGCUACUGUAUCUUGACUUGUGAAAGCACAGGAUUAAAAGCCGCGUUCUUAUGGACUAUAAUAUUCCUUGCAUUGACAUUGCUGAAACUCAACGAGCAAGAAUUAUUUCGAAUUAUAGCUAUCUGUUUUCACCAGUGAACUCUAUUGGUUAUCUUAUGAACGCCAUUCGUUUACGCCAAGACUUCUCCGUGCGUGCUAUGCGGUACAACUUGAAUAUUUAAUACGAUACAUAUAACUAGAAACAGACACAAGUAUUUUAUUUUAUUUUAUUUUAUUUUAUUUUAUAUCAUGUUUUACCAGCAACAAUCUCGGCAGGCACAUUAUAAAUCUUAUAAAGACCUUUAUUGGCAUUGUCAUUGGCCUUUUGUAGCAGAAUAAUCCAGCUUCUUUCGACCUGUGAUAUGCUGCUGUGUUAAUAAAUAUUUGUAUCAACUUCAAUCUUUAUCAUAUUUUAGAAGUUUUCAUCCAACUAUGCUACAGACAAACUGCCGAUAUAUCAGCAGAAACUUUAAAAUGCUUAUAAAAACUCAUCGAGUAAUGCUGUGUCUGUGCGGGACUAUAAAUUAUGUAUAAUAUAUCCC